rnacentral:rRNA from 1 species
CCUGGCUCAGGAUGAACGCUGGCGGCGUGCCUAAUACAUGCAAGUCGAGCGAAUGGAUUAAGAGCUUGCUCUUAGAAGUUAGCGGCGGACGGGUGAGUAACACGUGGGUAACCUGGCCAUAAGACUGGGAUAACUCCGGGAAACCGGGGCUAAUCCGGAUAACAUUUUGAACCGCAUGGUUCGAAAUUGAAAGGCGGCUUCGGCUGUCACUUAUGAUGGACCCGCGUCGCAUUAGCUAGUUGGUGAGGUAACGGCUCACCAAGGCAACGAUGCGUAGCCGACCUGAGAGGGUGAUCGGCCACACUGGGACUGAGACACGGCCCAGACUCCUACGGGAGGCAGCAGUAGGGAAUCUUCCGCAAUGGACGAAAGUCUGACGGAGCAACGCCGCGUCAGUGAUGAAGGCUUUCGGGUCGUAAAACUCUGUUGUUAGGGAAGAACAAGUGCUAGUUGAAUAAGCUGGCACCUUGACGGUACCUAACCAGAAAGCCACGGCUAACUACGUGCCAGCAGCCGCGGUAAUACGUAGGUGGCAAGCGUUAUCCGGAAUUAUUGGGCGUAAAGCGCGCGCAGGUGGUUUCUUAAGUCUGAUGUGAAAGCCCACGGCUCAACCGUGGAGGGUCAUUGGAAAGUGGGAGACUUGAGUGCAGAAGAGGAAAGUGGAAUUCCAUGUGUAGCGGUGAAAUGCGUAGAGAUAUGGAGGAACACCAGUGGCGAAGGCGACUUUCUGGUCUGUAACUGACACUGAGGCGCGAAAGCGUGGGGAGCAAACAGGAUUAGUACCCUGGUAGUCCACGCCGUAAACGAUGAGUGCUAAGUGUUAGAGGGUUUCCGCCCUUUAGUGCUGAAGUUAACGCAUUAAGCACUCCGCCUGGGGAGUACGGCCGCAAGCCUGAAACUCAAAGGAAUUGACGGGGGCCCGCACAAGCGGUGGAGCAUGUGCUUUAAUUCGAAGCAACCCGAAGAACCUUACCAGGUCUUGACAUCUCUGAAAACCCUAGAGAUAGGGCUUCUCCUUCGGGAGCAGAGAGACAGGUGGUCCAUGGUUGUCGUCAGCUCGUGUCGUGAGAUGUUGGGUUAAGUCCCGCAACGAGCGCAACCCUUGAUCUUAGUUGCCAUCAUUAAGUUGGGCACUCUAAGGUGACUGCCGGUGACAAACCGGAGGAAGGUGGGG